UCAUUUUAUGGAAAAAUGUUAAGAAAUUCAGCAAUUAAAAGAUUCAGUAGCUAUCAACAGUGUUCCAAAAGCUAUUGAAAUCUCUCUCUCUUUUGAAAUCUUUAAAUUAUUGUGCAUUGUUUGUAGCAAAUGGAUUUAAUUAUAAUCUUUUCAUCCAGUAGGUAAGAUAUUUUGAUGAUUUCCCCUUUGUAGUGACCACACUUAUUCCUUCCUUUGCAGACUCGUUCAUUUUCUCUAAUUGUUUCCUUUCUUCUCAUUCCACAAGUGAAAGAAACAUGAAAUACUGGUUUCUCUGAGUCUGUUUUAUUUUGCUUAACAUGAUCAUCACUAGCUUCAACUAUUUUCCUGGAAAAGAUAGGAUUUUUUCUUUUUAAUGUGCCCCAAAUAAUCUAUUGGGACUAUAUGCCACAUUGUUUAAUUCCAUUCACAUACUGCUGGGCACUGGGCACCUGGGUUGAUUUGCAGGGCUGCUGGGAACGGUGUGUCUAUUGUAAUCUGACCUCAAUUCUAUUGGGUGUAUACCCAGAAGUGAUACAGCUGCACCAUGUUGUGCUUCUAAUUUGAGUGUAAGCAGAACAAAGAAAAAUUCCACUUCUUGACAUUUUACAACAAAACCACAGAACACUAAUGAAGAAAAAGCCUUCAAAGUUGCCAGUAGACAGUGCCUGGCCCCUUUCAAGGGAACAUGUUAGGGUGAUCACUGACAUCUUGACACUGGCAAUUUUCACAGUGGGUCAUUGGGUAUCAUUAACUGUUCAGAAGACAGCAGAUGUUAAAAAAUUCUAUAUAUGCAAGAGAAAUUCUUAAAGAUAAUGUGAAAUGAUGUCUAUUAGAUGUGCUUCCCUGGCUUAUUAUCAUCACUAGAGGAAAUUCUAAGAGAAGUUGAGUCCCAUUGGAAGGCCUGCAUGAAGGAAUGAAAUGAUGAGUAGAAAAUGGGUAAAUAGGACUGAAUGCCUAAUAGACAAAGUACGAACAUAUUGUAGAAUCAAAUCCCUGCUAGGAUACUUAAUAGUAUACACUGAAUGACUAAAUUCAAAAAAGCCACCUGCAGUCCUUACUAUUUGUUAUGAGGGUGAAAUCUAUAGAGACAUCAGAGCUGUUUGUUGUAUUGUAAAUAUGCUUUCUGUGGAUUCUUCCAACAUGUGCCGUAUUUUACAACAGAGAAAAAUAAAACUUUAUUCAACC
rnacentral:lncRNA from 1 species